rnacentral:misc_RNA from 1 species
GAACUGCGAUACGUAAUGUGACUUGCAGAAUCUCGUGAAUCAUCAAAUCUUUGAACGCAAAUGGCGCUCCCGUGCAGGGAGCACGCCUGUCUGAGUAUCAUACACCUCUCCAUCGCUUCCCCCCCGGCGCGGGGGGAACGCGGGAUCUGGGGGUCUCGCCGCUCCCGGGCGGCGCGUCCCCUUAAAGCCACCACUCUUUCCAAAAAGGACCCGGUUUCCCGGCGGACUCCGUCGUAGUUUUUUUUGCGCUGUAGGCUUCAUCGCUCCCCGCAAAAAAUUCCCGACGCGCCUCCGCCGGGCGGGCCUAUUCCCGUGAUCUCAGAUCAGGCGAGACGACCCGCUGAACUUAA